rnacentral:rRNA from 1 species
GACGAACGCUGGCGGCGUGCUUAACACAUGCAAGUCGAACGGAAAGGCCCUGCUUUUGUGGGGUGCUCGAGUGGCGAACGGGUGAGUAACACGUGAGUAACCUGCCCUUGACUUUGGGAUAACUUCAGGAAACUGGGGCUAAUACCGGAUAGGAGCUCCUGCUGCAUGGUGGGGGUUGGAAAGUUUCGGCGGUUGGGGAUGGACUCGCGGCUUAUCAGCUUGUUGGUGGGGUAGUGGCUUACCAAGGCUUUGACGGGUAGCCGGCCUGAGAGGGUGACCGGCGACAUUGGGACUGAGAUACGGCCCAGACUCCUACGGGAGGCAGCAGUGGGGAAUAUUGCACAAUGGGCGGAAGCCUGAUGCAGCAACGCCGCGUGCGGGAUGACGGCCUUCGGGUUGUAAACCGCUUUCGCCUGUGACGAAGCGUGAGUGACGGCAAUGGGUAAAGAAGCACCGGCUAACUACGUG